GAGGUGAGGUUUUCCUCCUGGAGAUUCCUUUCUACCAGGGGCCUUCCAAAGCUGGUAGGUAGAUCCUUGAGAUGCUCUUGUAAUUUCAGAGAGGUGCCCAAGGGAGAAGGAAGCAGGAACUGAACCACAAGCAGCUCUCACAGGGCAUUGUUUCCUCCUGAUUUCGUUACCGUCUUAUUUAACUUCUUGCUUGAGCAAGGAGACAUAGCAAAUUCCAGGCUGUGGUUGAGGAGUGUGCCGGGCUUCCAGCUGUAACAGGCAGCUGGCUGUGGCUCUGAAUGUGGGUUAAGGGAGAGAAGCAAGCCCAAUGAAGUCCUGCCACAUUCAUGUGAAGCAGGAGAGAUUUGUUUGUACAUGCUUUUGCUGAAAGACUGUAUUAUGCGGAACACACAAAGUAACAACUCCUAUCCAUUUUUAGAGCUAUUGUUAAAUAGAGAAUUAGCAUUGAGGAGAAGACAGUGGGGGACUCUUCCUUCUUCCCUCUUCUCCCUCCCAUAGUACGGUGUCUUUAUUUUCUUUUCAUUAUUUCUCUUUGUCUUACUGGCAUACUGCUUUCAUUUAUAUUGAAAUCAGCUGGCAGAAGACAAAGUUCACAGCAUAUAUUUAGAGCCUGUGUUUUUGAGACCAGUAAUUAUUAUUUUCCUCCAUCUUUCCUGGGAAGCUACUGGUGAUUUGUUUCCAGGUUCAUUUCAUGAGUGUUUACUGUCAUUUACUAUGAACUCUGGUCUUUUCCUUUCUCUGCCUGUCCCUCAAAAUGCUGACCACAUGCUGGCUCUGCUUUGCAUUUCUGAAUCUGAGUUUGUAUUUUAAUAUUCAUUAGGUAUUUGUACUGACAGCCCAUCAAUACAUUAAAUUAGUAUAUACGCAGCUAACAAGUAUGGUACAUGCCUAACUGACUUAUAACAACAUUAAAGCAGACAGAACAGAUUGUCUCAGCAGGGUUUAAUAAACUGUACUUAUCCACAGUCCCUGUGAAAAACAGGCAUGCAACUCCAACGUACAGUGCUCCCUUGGAAUCAGAAGAUCAACAUUAAAUGUGCUAAAGUGAACGUGAUUUGUUUUCUGAUCAGAAAACUGAACUUUCUUCCAUCUUUGAAGAAGUGCUUAGUCGUCUUCUUUUGGGAAACUAGACAUUCAUUAUAAAGAAUCAGGCAUUCUAGUUCAAAACUAUUUAAUGAAUAUGAAGUAGCAUUGGAGCUGAUAAAAUGCAUGCAUGGUUAUGCAUUACUUGUUCUCAUGAAAUGCUUUGAAGGUAUUGAGAUCUUUGCAAGUAAUUAGUAUCAUAAUUAGAAUAUCAUUUUUUUUCUGCAAGUAAGACUAAUGUGACUAAAAGGAGAGCUUUUUUUGGAUAAGAGGUAUUAUUUCUUCUCCAUAUGACUGAGAAAGUAGUUUUCUCUAAAGCAGGAAGAAAACUGAUGUCAGAUGAAAGGAGAGCUUCUCUGUUUAGUCUUUUUGGAUAUGGCUGACUCCAAGCCAGAAAUUUCCUGGAGAGAUCUCCUGUCUGGCAUCUUGGAGAGAGUACAUACCACCUCUUGCAUUACAAGCAUUAGGUAGGAUAGAAUCUGUCAAUUUUAUAUCCUGUUUCCAUUUCUCUGCAGUCAAAAAUUGGGUGAUUAAAAACUGCAUAAAAAUUUUAAAAUAGACAUCAGACACUUA